AUUCCUACGGGAGGCAGCAGUGGGGGAUAUUGCACAAUGGGGGGAACCCUGAUGCAGCGACGCCGCGUGGGUGAAGAAGCGCCUCGGCGCGUAAAGCCCUGUCAGCAGGGAAGAAAAUGACGGUACCUGAAGAAGAAGCCCCGGCUAACUACGUGCCAGCAGCCGCGGUAAUACGUAGGGGGCAAGCGUUAUCCGGAUUUACUGGGUGUAAAGGGGGCGCAGACGGCGAUGCAAGCCAGGAGUGAAAGCCCGGGGCCCAACCCCGGGACUGCAUUUGGAACUGUGUGGCUGGAGGGUCGGAGAGG
rnacentral:rRNA from 1 species